UUCAUAUCACAUUGACACACCGGUUGCCGUAAAAUCACGGAAAUUAAGCAAAGUCGUCUCUGGUCAGUACUUCGAUGUGUGACCGCUUGUGAAUACCAGGUGCU